rnacentral:rRNA from 1 species
GACGAACGCUGGCGGCGUGCUUAACACAUGCAAGUCGAACGGAAAGGCCCUGCUUUUGUGGGGAGCUCGAGUGGCGAACGGGUGAGUAACACGUGAGUAACCUGCCAUUGACUGUGGGAUAACUUCAGGAAACUGGGGCUAAUACGGGCUAGGAGCUACUGCUGUUUGGUGGGGGUUGGAAAGUUUCGGCGGUUGGGGAUGGACUCGCGGCUUAUCAGCUUGUUGGUGGGGUAGUGGCUUACCAAGGCUUUGACGGGUAGCCGGCCUGAGAGGGUGACCGGCCACAUUGGGACUGAGAUACGGCCCAGACUCCUACGGGAGGGAGCAGUGGGGAAUAUUGCACAAUGGGCGGAAGCCUGAUGCAGCAAAGCCGCGUGCGGGAUGACGGCCUUCGGGUUGUAAACCGCUUUCGCCUGUGACGAAGCGUGAGUGACGGUAAUGGGUAAAGAAGCACCGGCUAACUACGUG